GAAAAGAAACCAACAGGGAUUGCCCUAGUAACGGCGAGUGAAGCGGCAACAGCUCAAAUUUGAAAUCUGGCCUCGCGGCCCGAGUUGUAAUUUGCAGAGGAUGCUUCUGGCGCGGUGCCUUCCGAGUUCCCUGGAACGGGACGCCACAGAGGGUGAGAGCCCCGUCUGGUGGGACACCAAGCCUGUGUGAAGCUCCUUCGACGAGUCGAGUAGUUUGGGAAUGCUGCUCUAAAUGGGAGGUAAAUCUCUUCUAAAGCUAAAUACCGGCCAGAGACCGAUAGCGCACAAGUAGAGUGAUCGAAAGAUGAAAAGCACCUUGAAAAGGGGGUUAAACAGUACGUGAAAUUGUUGAAAGGGAAGCGCUUGUGACCAGACGUGCGCCCGGCGGCUCAUCCAGCGUUCGCGCUGGUGCACUCCGCCGGGCGCAGGCCAGCAUCGGUUUCGGCGGGGGGAGAAGGACGGCAGGAAUGUGGCUCCCCUCCGGGGGAGUGUUAUAGCCUGCCGUACGAUGCCCCCGCGGGGACCGAGGACCGCGCUGUCAAAGGCAAGGAUGCUGGCGUAAUGGUUACUAGCGACCCGUCUUGAAACACGGACCAAGGAGUCGUCCAUUGGAGCGAGCGUUUGGGUGUCAAACCCGCACGCGCAAUGAAAGUGAAAUUUCUAUAGGUGAGAGCCUCGGCGCAUCAUCGACCGAUCCUGAUGUUCUCGGAUGGAUUUGAGUAAGAGUUUCAACGGACGGACCCGAAAGACAGUGAACUAUGCUUGUAUAGGGUGAAGCCAGAGGAAACUCUGGUGGAGGCUCGCAGCGGUUCUGACGUGCAAAUCGAUCGUCAAAUAUGAGCAUGGGGGCGAAAGACUAAUCGAACUGUCUA
rnacentral:rRNA from 1 species